CAGAUAAUUCCUGAGCUGAAGAUGGACUAUCUUAGGCGUGUCGUCGCACCAUCUCAAGAGAUUGAUGGUGUGGCCACUUGGGAUUUCAUCAACAUCUGACAUGAUCAAUAUGUCGUCAUCUUCAAUUCUUGCAAUCCUAAGAAGCUGGUCCAGGGCAACCCUCUGAUACGACUCCUCAACAAAUGGAUUUUCGCCCUUCAUGAAUCUUCCCCCAUAUGUGCCAUAGGUCAGCCGCGAUUCAGCAAAUCUAAAUCGAUGGCGGUUUUCCUUGAAGAAGAGUGGCUUUAUCACGCCAGUGAAAGUUGAGUUGGACUCAAGCAGGACGAACUCUGACACAUAGGGGCUGAGUUCAUUCCAACGAAGUUCAAGGAUAUCAAGCUCAUUACUGAAGAGCACAGCAUCGAAAACACGGCGUGGGGUCUCCCUGACUUUCCACCCAUGUAACUUGCAGAGGUUCUCCAUGGUGACAUUCUCAUUGUAGUAGUGAGGGAUUAUCUUGAAGGGCUCGGGCGGAGAUUCCCAGAUUGGCCGGAGGAAGUAUGUGACCUUCUGGCCAUGCUUAUAUAUUAUUAACAUUACCAGCGGCACACCAAUGA
rnacentral:lncRNA from 1 species